rnacentral:misc_RNA from 1 species
GAUGAAGAACGUAGUGAAAUGCGAUAAGUAAUGUGAAUUGCAGAAUUCAGUGAAUCAUCGAAUCUUUGAACGCACCUUGCACCCUUUGGCAUUCCGAAGGGUAUGCUCGUUUGAGUGUCAUUGUACUCUCACACUUCUGAUCCUUUGGAUUGGGAGCGGUGGACUUGGGUGUUGCUGCUUUACUGUGGCUCACCUCAAAUGCAUUCGUGCAACUCUUGGUUGGACAUAGUACGGCGUGAUAAGUAUCUUCGCCGGCACCUCGCAAGAGGGUGGCUGAUCAGGAGCUCUGUGCUUUCCAACUGUCUUCAGACAACAACUGACAACUUGACCUCAAAUCGAGUAGGACCACCCGCUGAACUUAAGCAUAUCAAUAAGGGAGGA